rnacentral:lncRNA from 1 species
GACUCAUGAACAAGGGGAUGAGUAACUCAGAAUAAGCUGAUCUCCUGAGCCUGGCAAAGCAGAAAAAUGGAAGAAACCUAGGUCUUUGAGCCACUAAAUUAACCAAUCUCAGAGCCAAAUUAGAAAUUCUUAUGUGAUUCCAUAAAGAAACUCUCCAGUAAAACUGAUUGAAGGUCAUAUGACCGCAUUUGAGAAGAGGUCCUGCCCCAUACCCAGGAGGAAGGACUUCUCAGAAGUUGUGAGUAAAACACUGGUUGUGAAGUUUAGUGAUGAUGGUAGCAAGAAAUGAAGCUGGUUUAACCUGAUUUUAAAGGGGGCUUUAUGCCUUUUAUUGUGCUGCUGUCUCUUAACUUCAAGCCCAUUCUCAUCACUCUGUUUUAUAAUAAUCUGCAAACCAUAUUACUGCUUUGCCACCUUGUCCUCUGUGAGGAUCUACCAAUAAAAGAUGCGAGAGGGAGACUGCACUUCGUCAACCUGGCAGUGGCAGUUUGUUCCAGAAGCAGCGGUUGAAUCCAGUUUGCAGUUUUUCUAAUGUGCAGAACCAGCCUUGUUGCUUUGCCUCAGAGACACUAGUACCAAGCAGCCGGUGAUUCCUCCUAAGAGGUCUGGGUCUUAGUCCUGCGGGGCCCCUUGUCUGAUGUCAGGAAUCAUCAUCAUCCCUCUCCUCAUAGGUUGAGUUUCAGCUCAGCAGGGGCCCCUUUUCCAAUCU